GUUAAGUGGGAAACGAUGUGGGAAGGCACAGACAGCCAGGAUGUUGGCUUAGAAGCAGCCAUCAUUUAAAGAAAGCGUAAUAGCUCACUGGUCGAGUCGGCCUGCGCGGAAGAUGUAACGGGGCUAAACCAUGCACCGAAGCUGCGGCAGCGACACUGUGUGUUGUUGGGUAGGGGAGCGUUCUGUAAGCCUGUGAAGGUGGCCUGUGAGGGUUGCUGGAGGUAUCAGAAGUGCGAAUGCUGACAUAAGUAACGAUAAAGCGGGUGAAAAGCCCGCUCGCCGGAAGACCAAGGGUUCCUGUCCAACGUUAAUCGGGGCAGGGUGAGUCGACCCCUAAGGCGAGGCCGAAAGGCGUAGUCGAUGGGAAACGGGUUAAUAUUCCCGUACUUGGUGUUACUGCGAAGGGGGGACGGAGAAGGCUAUGUUGGCCGGGCGACGGUUGUCCCGGUUUAAGCGUGUAGGUGUGUGUUCCAGGUAAAUCCGGUUCACUUUAACACUGAGGCGUGACGACGAGGCACUACGGUGCUGAAGCAACAAAUGCCCUGCUUCCAGGAAAAGCCUCUAAGCAUCAGGUAACAUCAAAUCGUACCCCAAACCGACACAGGUGGUCAGGUAGAGAAUACCAAGGCGCUUGAGAGAACUCGGGUGAAGGAACUAGGCAAAAUGGUGCCGUAACUUCGGGAGAAGGCACGCUGACACGUAGGUGAAGUGAUUUACUCAUGGAGCUGAAGUCAGUCGAAGAUACCAGCUGGCUGCAACUGUUUAUUAAAAACACAGCACUGUGCAAACACGAAAGUGGACGUAUACGGUGUGACGCCUGCCCGGUGCCGGAAGGUUAAUUGAUGGGGUCAGCGCAAGCGAAGCUCCUGAUCGAAGCCCCGGUAAACGGCGGCCGUAACUAUAACGGUCCUAAGGUAGCGAAAUUCCUUGUCGGGUAAGUUCCGACCUGCACGAAUGGCGUAAUGAUGGCCAGGCUGUCUCCACCCGAGACUCAGUGAAAUUGAACUCGCUGUGAAGAUGCAGUGUACCCGCGGCAAGACGGAAAGACCCCGUGAACCUUUACUAUAGCUUGACACUGAACAUUGAGCCUUGAUGUGUAG
rnacentral:rRNA from 1 species